AUCUUGGUGCCUGUUUCUGUUAGUUCCAGCAGGUCCAGCUGGCCCACUUCACCUCAGUUUGAUGAUUUCGAUUGGGUUUCUGUGGACGGGAGUGAAGAUGUUGAGAAAGCUCAUGGGUUUCUUGAUGACUUUGUUCUUGGACCUGUUCCUUCUGGAGAUGAAGUUCACAACGCUGUUUCUGCUCUUCAACACAAGUAUCUUCAUUUGGGACAGAAUCAGAUUGGAUGGAGCCUUAUGUUUACCUUUGUAAUUCCCAGCCUCAGGGACGUCAAAGAGUUUAUGAGGCUUUCAGUUUAUUGCAGAAUGAGUCAUCUGUUCAGAGAAUAGUGGUUUCAUUGUCAUAUGAUAGAGCAGUUUGGGAUGCUGUGAUGAAUAAUGAGGUGGUGAGGGAGCUGAGGGAAUCCUUCUAUGCAGGUUGGUAUGAAUUUCAAGGACCGUAGUUGAUUAGACUUAUCUAAGUAUUAUACUCUGUGUUAUAAAAGAGGUGCUACAACACGAUUUUACAAGUUUCAUAC